CUCUCUCCCUGCAACUCCCCACUCCCCACUCCUAUUCCCAACCAGCCCAUCUCCUCAUCUCCUCUCUCACAUUUUUUUUUUCCUUCCUUAACCACACUUUCAACCGGCACACGCCCACUCUCUUUUCCUUCUUCCCUCUCUUCUCAUAUCUCAUUUUAUUUUUUUGGCCUCUCAUUUUUUUAGGUGGCGGGCCCCCCAUUAUCUUUUUCCUCUUUUUCUCCACAUAACCAGUCGGAACCCUUGCCCAGAUUUUAUUUAUUUAUUUAUUUAUUUUUCUUUUUCUUUCUUCCCCAUUUUCAUUUCUAUUUUUUUUCUUUCCCCAAACACACACUCCACCAGUUGCCACUGUCGACCGACCACUAUCGACCAGCCACCCCCCUAUUGUCGGCUAGCAAUCUGGCCAUUCAUAGUUUUUUAAAAAAUGGGUAAAUUUCCUUUUUGCUUUAUUUUUUUAUUAUUUUAUUUUAUUUUUUGGUUUGCAUAGUAGUUGAUUUGGAUUUGGGCCUGUUACUUAUUGGUUAUUUGUUUGGGCUUAUGGGAUUGUGCUUGAUAUAUUAUUUCUUUUGCCUAUAUAUAUUAUUAAUGUGAGCUUGUUAAUUGAUCAUUUGUUUGGGCUUAUUGGAUUGAGUUUGAGAUAUUAUUUCUUUUGGCUAUGUGUAUUAUUAAUGUGAGUUUGUUAAUUGGUUAUUUGUUUGGGUUUAUUGGAUUGAGCUUGAUAUAUAAUUUCUUUUGGCCAUGUGUAUUAUUAAUGUGAGCUUGUUAAUUGGUUAUUUGUUUAGGUUUAUUGGAUUGAACUUGAAAUAUUAUUUUCUUUAGUCAUGUAUAUUAUUAAUGUGGGCUUGUUAAUUGAUAUGAAUUUUGGGUCCACAAUGUGGAUGAAAUUUGUUAGAUGACUUGAAUAUUUGGUAUGAGCUUGGCCAAUUUGAAUUAUUUAAUUUGGACAUAGGACAAUUGUGGUGUCUAUUAAAUUAGGCUUGAAUUAUGAGAUAUUAAAUUUAGGCCUAAUUGAAUUUAUUUUGUUUUGUGAUAUUUUGGGCUUGGCUAAUUGUGUUGUAUUUUGGCUAUUAAUUUGGAAAUUUUAGAUUAAGGCCUAUGACAUGUGAGAUAUUUUUGUUGGGUUAUAUUUGCUAAUUUGGGAUCAUUUUAAUUGAUGAAAUUUGUUGGACUAAUUUGAAAUUUGAAUUUAGGCUUGAAUAUCUAUUGUGAAUUUUAUAUAUUUUUCAGAUAUUUACAUUUGGACUAUUUUUGUUUUUACAUGAGCCCAUUAUACAAUAUUGUUGGCUAAGUACGAGUUUAUGACACGUGAAGCACGAAAUUUCAAGAAAGAAAAUGAGACUCGAAAAGCUGGAGGAAGACAUUAAGCUUGUUGUAAGCUUAUUUGGUUGGUAGAUGGCAAACAAAAAUAUUUACAAAGUUUUACAAAGUCUUCAGAGGUUUGGUUAACAAUAAAUGUAAAGAUGAAUGCGUGGCUUUAUUGAUUCUAGACUUCUAUUGCUGCAUUAAAUUCUUGUACUUGGAGACGUAUUUAAUGUUUCAAUAUCAUCAUUGCUGACAUCAACAUUCUAUUACAUUUUGCAUAUUAUAAUAACUUUCGUCAUCAAGGUUUUUCCAAAAUGAUGCGCCAUCGCUGAGGUAAGAAAAUGGUUCUAGUAACUCUACACUAAGUUCGGUUAUAAAAUCUUAUUCUUUAGGAGUAAUGAAAGGUUUUGGAACAAUAAUGUGUUCUAAAGGUUUGUUUCUUCAUAUAGACACUUUUAUGUUUCUCCAAUGAGAUGAAAUAAUUUAUUUCGA